rnacentral:rRNA from 1 species
AACGAACGCUGGCGGCAGGCUUAACACAUGCAAGUCGAACGCCCCGCAAGGGGAGUGGCAGACGGGUGAGUAACGCGUGGGAACAUUCCCUUUUCUACGGAAUAGCUCUGGGAAACUGGGAUUAAUACCGUAUACGCCCUACGGGGGAAAGAUUUAUCGGGGAAGGAUUGGCCCGCGUUGGAUUAGCUAGUUGGUGGGGUAAAGGCCUACCAAGGCGACGAUCCAUAGCUGGUCUGAGAGGAUGAUCAGCCACAUUGGGACUGAGACACGGCCCCAACUCCUACGGGAGGCAGCAGUGGGGAAUAUGGGACACUGGGCGGAAGCCUGAUGCAGCCAUGCCGGGAGAGUGAUGAAGGCCUGAGGGUGGUAAAGCUCUUUCACCGAUGAAGAUAAUGACGGUAGUCGGAGAAGAAGCCCGGGCUAACUUCUU